GAUGAAGAACGUAGCGAAAUGCGAUAAGUAGUGUGAAUUGCAGAAUUCAGUGAAUCAUCGAAUCUUUGAACGCACAUUGCGCCCUUUGGUAUUCCUUAGGGCAUGCCUGUUCGAGCGUCAUCUAAACCUUCAAGCACUGCUUGGUGUUGGGUGCCUGUCCCGCUCCCGCGCGUGGACUCACCUCAAAUCCAUUGGCGGCCCUCACGUCGGCUACGAGCGCAGCAGAAACGCGAACUUGUGGACCCGGCGGAGUGGCUCCCAGAAGCUACAUUCACCAUUUUGACCUCGGAUCAGGUAGGGAUACCCGCUGAACUUAAGCAUAUCAAUAAGCGGAGGA
rnacentral:misc_RNA from 1 species